GCCGAGCCCGGCGAGCGGGUUCCCGGACCAGGGCGCCGUACCCGGUCAGCGACAAGACGGCGCGCG
rnacentral:ncRNA from 1 species